rnacentral:tRNA from 5 species
AGCAGAGUAGAGCAACGGUAGCUCACUUGGUUCAUACCCAAGAGGUAGCAGGUUCGACUCCUGCCUCUGCAACCA